rnacentral:sRNA from 1 species
GUAUCUGCUCACGGAGGCACAAACCCACCAAGAUAUGUGAUAAGCAGGCUACUCGUGUCAUUUUAAACUAGUUCCAACCAGCUAGGCUGCUCCCUGUUCUGAGCUGCUGGCGAUUAGCUGUCAUCCUGCACAGGAGACAAGCAGGUCGAAUAUCUGAAAAAUAUAUUCACCCGCAUAUUUCAAAAGAAAAGGAAUGCAGUGAACAUGCCCAGGUUGAUGGGAAGCUCAGGUCUGCACACGUGCUUCUGACAAGAUCAUCUGACAUGAGCCGGCCGAGAGUGCUCUCCUCAGCUCCAUGCUGCAAGCUAUCAGCCAGCAUAGGAAAUCUGAAGUGGCAAUCCCUUCCACAUCCAGGAAUGAAUUCCUGCUGUCUGCACCAUCCAUGGCUGCUCCUGACUUUGGGAGUUCUCAUGGACUUCCACAGCUAUUCCUUUUCCAGAAACAGGCCAGCGGAAGGCAAGACCAAAGCCCACCCUCUCUACCCAGAUUGCUACCUUUAAUGGAGAAAGAAACAUGCAUGCACACAGGCAAAAGCCUGCUCUCUCUCUCUCUCUCUCUCUCUCUCUCUCUCUCUCUCUCUCUC